rnacentral:rRNA from 1 species
AUUGAACGCUGGCGGCAGGCUUAACACAUGCAAGUCGAACGAGUGGCGGACGGGUGAGUAAUGCUUGGGAAUCUAGCUUAUGGAGGGGGAUAACUACGGGAAACUGUAGCUAAUACCGCAUACUAUCGGAUGAACCCAAAUGGGAUUAGCUAGUAGGUGGGGUAAAGGCUCACCAAGCCGACGAUCUCUAGCUGGUCUGAGAGGAGGACCAGCCACACUGGGACGGAGACACGGCCCAGACUCCUACGGGAGGCAGCAGUGGGGAAUAUUGCGCAAUGGGGGCAACCUGACGCAGCCAUGCCGCGGGAAUGAAGAAGGCCUUCGGGUUGUAAAGUUCUUUCGGUAGCGAGGCGUUAACUACAGAAGAAGCACCGGCUAACUCCGUGCCAGCCGCCGCGGUAAUAC